rnacentral:rRNA from 1 species
GACGAACGCUGGCGGCGUGCCUAACACAUGCAAGUCGAACGAAGUGGCGAACGGGUGAGUAACGCGUAAUCAACCUGCCCUUCAGAGGGGGACAACAGUUGGAAACGACUGCUAAUACCGCAUCCUGAAGGCGGGGAUUGCGUCUGAUUAGCUAGUUGGUGGGGGAACGCCCCACCAAGGCGAUGAUCAGUAGCCGGUCUGAGAGGAUGAACGGCCACAGUGGGACUGAGACACGGCCCAGACUCCUACGGGAGGCAGCAGUGGGGAAACUGCCGCAAUGGACGAAAGUCUGACGGAGCAACGCCGCGGGAGUGAUGACGGCCUUCGGGUUGUAAAGCUCUGUUAAUCGGGACGCGGUACCGGAAUAGAAAGCCACGGCUAACUACGUGCCAGCAGCCGCGGUAAUUC